GGCAAAUCCGAAGUCGAGUUUUUAUUGGUUGAGUCGAUUAGGUGGGAUUUCUGAUUGGAUUAGGCCUGGGAUCAGAUCCCAUCCCCGGAAGUGGGAGUGGUUCUGCUCUCAGUCUGGGUCUCGAGCAGCUGUGUGGUAGGACUGUGGAACGGGUAGCGGCCGCCAGCUAAGUCCUUUACACUCUCCGUGCCCUCCGCGCCCUCGGCUCUCCUGGGCCCAGGCGUUCUGUUGAGGUUUCCGGGGUCUCCACCGAGCCAUACCCUCUGCGCUCACCUUCACGGCGUAAGCCACGUGGAGCUGACGUCCUGAGGGCGUCGGGCGGUGGACCAGGCGGUCCUAGGAGAGAUAGGCUGGGGGCCGCUGCCCCGAGCCCAGCUACACCGCCUGGCGGUUGCGGUUCUUCUACUGUCAGCCGCGCUAGGGCACAUCUGGAACCAAAGCUGCAUUUCACUGAGUGUUAAGAGCAGCAGGGCCGGAGAUUUAGCUCGGUGGUUCCGUCGCCUGCCUCUCAAGCGCAAGGUCCCGAGUUCGAUACACGGUGCCAAAAAAGAACAGCAGGCUCCACAGACAGAACCAUUCACUGCUGGGAUCUGGAAAAUUGCUGAGAGUUCACUUUACAGCAUCUAUACGCUGCCCAGGGAUGGACAUGGAACCGGGCCGACCCACUUCCAGGCCUGGUAGGCUGGUGUAGAGCUGCUCCCCUUCCUUCUGGUGUCCUAUCCCCUCUUCAUUCCUGAGAACUCUGGGACGGAUCGCUAUUCCUGAUUUUAUGGAUGAAGAAGUGAAGAGACAGAAAUUAAACAGCCAGCCUGGAGUUACAGAGGCCUUUCAAGCCUAGAAGUGACUCUGUUAAGCCAGUGUUCACCUUAAAUAAAUCCUCCUGAUUCCCAUUGGUCUCUCCUGUCUCUUGGAAUUCUGCAAUAGGGUGAAUUUCCUGGCAGGACCUAAGAGCAACAGCUGCUUCUGAACUGGGGCCCCAACAGUCCAGAGAACAUGGAUGAGCCCAACUUGGGUGGAGGACAGAAACCUUACUGGAAAGAGGACCUACACCCUAGCCGGCUGCUGACAGCUACCAUCUCUACCCUGUGAAGCCAGAUCCCUUAGACCUUCUGCCUCCUGAUAUGGACUCACACAAGACACUACAGUGAGCUCCAGGCCUCGACUGGAUCCUUCAGAUCUCCAGCACAGAGACAGCCCUUUUGCACUUUUACACACCUGACACUGCAGGCAGCCACUGUAAGCCAAUCUUGUAAAUUCUCAGCUAUUUGUAUAUCUUGCAUUAAAUCUAUUUCUCUAGUAUGCACUCUUACAAGGACCAAACAAUUUAGCUAAGAAAAAUGAAAACACGCCCACAAAGGAGUUAUAUCGUAGAACGUUCAUAGCAGAUUCAUUCCUCACAGCCCCAGACUGGGGAACAGCUCACAGUCAUGGAGUAGAGCAUGGAUGAAGAAAGGUGGGCUCUCUCCGUGAGCCACAGUUGUGUUUUCUGAGGGUUCCAGUGACCUGCAGUCAACUGUGGCUGGAAAUCCCAGAAGCCUAACAGGCCAUGAGUUUUAAGCUGUGCACCCUUCUGAGGGAUGCCAGCUCUUCAGCCCCUGGAUGAAAUCCUUUUGAGCCACCAGCUUUUGUCUCCCUGCAGGAACAGCAAAUGCUCAGCAUGACAAGGUGGGCCUGUGGCGUCUGCCACUAUUAGGGGGUGUCUGCUCCUCUUCUCCUUCGACUGCCUUGGUCUGGUGGAUUCUUCAUUUUUCUGCAAAGUCCCCUCUGAGGUCCCCUGUCAUUGGAUCAGCCAACACUGGAUUCAGGCAUCUCAAACAGAAACCAAAAUGUAAAUGGCACUGUGGGUAAAGAGGGUGCUGGAUGUCAGCUCAAGUGGGUGCUGUUCUACCUGGCUAUAGGGUUGGAGGCUUCAGGAAGACCUGUUGUCAUGGGUGCAUGGUCGUGGACAUGGCACCAGCAGGGACUCUUCCCACCUGUUGCCUGGAGGUGCCUUGCUUAGUCUUCCAAUCCUCUCUCUCUGUGCUUUGGAAGUGAGGUCCACGGAGGAGAAAUGUGGCAGAGAUAUAGCAGAGGACAGUGACAAGCACUUCUGUCCUGGGACUCAG
rnacentral:lncRNA from 1 species